CGUCCCAGGCCCCACUGUCAAGAUACAGGCUGGAGGUGCUGGAGUUGGUGAUGGUGCAGGAGGGCUAGUGCGUCUCUGUGCCCUGCAGUGUCCUUUAACCCUAUUACAACUGAACUGACUCUAGCCCUGUCCAUGGAUGCUGGUUUAAGAAAGGGAUCAAUAUACAAUGGAAUAAUCCAGUGGCCACAAACAUCCCAAAUGGAAAAGUGCAGGAGACACGGGGCCGAUUCCACCUCCUUGGGGACCUGAAGACCAACAACUGCUCCCUGAGCAUCAGAGAUGCCAGGAAGGGGGAUUUGAGGAACUACUACUUCCAGGUGGAGAGAGGACAGAUAAGAUGGAAUUACAAAACGAAGCAGCUCUCUGUGAAU
rnacentral:lncRNA from 1 species